AUGUUGAGAUGUUUCCAUAAGCCCAUAUCAAGAUUAUUCUUUUCGUUGUUGGUUUUCAACAACUCCAUUCUAGCAUUUGUUGUAUCUGUGAUCUCUCAACAUCUUGUUUCCCUUCGUUCCGGAGUCAUUGUGAUGUUGCUCUUUUCAACCCAUCAUCUCGUUUGUCAAAGAUCAUGUUCUUUUCGUGCUUAUCCAUUUAACCAGAGUGUCGUGUCCUCUGCUCAAGUUCUUUUCAUCUUAUCUAGUCUUGUAUCACUUUUCAACCGGAGUGCUGUUCGAAUUUGGUCUUCCUUGAUCCCCUUCCUUAACCGGCGCGUUUUCAAUAUAUAUCUUCCCUUCAACCUCAAGGUUUCGCAAUACUCUUUGUCCCUAGUUUCUAACGGAGUGUUUUCGACUUUGUUCUCCUUCGUUCUAUUCUUUUCUUGA
rnacentral:rRNA from 1 species